rnacentral:lncRNA from 1 species
AAGCGUUUUAAUUGUUGGUCCCCUUCGUCCGGACUCUUCGAAAAUAUCCCUAGAGUCUCGCGCCAAAUGCUGUUCCCCCAUUCGAAAAGCCGGCUGGAGAGUGAAUACUAGGCGCGGAGAGGGUUGUGUGUGCUAAGGACGUCCGGAAUAAAAGUUGCUCCAGUUCCAAUUGUUCCCACCACAAAAUGAGUGCGGGGAAAAUUUAUAAUUAAAAGAAGAAAAUGUCAUGCAAAACUGUUCUUGUUGAGUCAGCCUGUGGACCAGCCAAAGUGUACAUCUGUCACUCGGUUGAGCGGGACCUGCUGAAGUCUGUGCAGCUAUACCGGGUGGACAGAGGGUCAGAAUGCGCUAACCAUUUCCAGGAGUUCCAAAAGAAAACAAAGUAAGGAUAAAAAUGGAAAGGUCCGUUAAAAAUGUCCUGCUACAUGAAAGAAGCCAGACCCAAAGAUCGCACGAGGUAUGACUGCAUUUUUAUGACCGGUCCAGAAAAGGCAACGCUGUGGAGUUGCUCCCAGACACGGGGACUGACUGGAAAGAGCCAUGAGGAAUCUCACUCUGGUGGUGAAAAUGCUGGGUCUCAGUGGCAGGGGGUGGGGGUGGGGGCGUAAAGGGACAGUUCCACAACUCCGGAAACUUGCCCCAAAUCACGAGUGACUUUUGUUUUGUAAGGUGUUUGGGUGGGGGGCGUGUAACUUAUGUAGCUGGAGUUAAAAGGAGGCUCAACAGAACCAAAGCUGCUUUGAAACUUCUGUUAAAUCGGGGUUUCUUUCCUCAACUGUCUCUGGCUACAGAGCCUCACACUAAUCUAGUGAAUGAAGGGCUGUGCCUUCCCCCCACCCUACUUUCUGGAACAACUUAAAAUAGAAAUUAGUAAGAUCAAGCUGGGCAUGGUGGCGCAUGCCUUUAAUCCCAGCAUUUGGGAGGCAGAGGCAGGCGGAUUUCUGAGUUUGAGGCCAGCCUGGUCUACAAAGUGAGUUCCAGGACAGCCAGAACUACACAGAGAAACCCUGCCUCAAAACAAAACAAAACAAAACAAAAAACCAAAAAACCACCACCAACAACAACAACAACAAAAAAAAACACCACCACCACCAAAAAAGAGUAAGAUCGAUAAAUAGUGCCUUUGAUGUGUUUAUCUCAAUGAAAGAGUCUAAGUUUGCAGUUUUAUUACAGCCUUUCAGUGUCUUUGAGAUGCUGACCACUUUUUUGUGUUAUUGGAUUUGGCAGGAGUGGAAGGGGAGCGAUAUUUUGUUUGAGACAGGGUUACUCUAUGUAGUCCUGGCUGUCCUGUUACUUGAGGCUGGCCUCACAGAACUCCUCCUGCCCCUGCCUCCCUAAUGCUGGGAAUUAAAGGUCAAAUUGGGGCCCUACAGCAUCUUCCUACCAUUCUGUUCUUUCCUUGGCCAUUAAAAAACAAUAAAUUUCCUGUCUUUUUGC